GAUGAACGCCGGCGGCGUGCCUAACACAUGCAAGUCGAGCGAACGGACGAGAAGCUUGCUUUUCUGAUGUUAGCGGCGGACGGGUGAGUAACACGUGGAUAACCUACCUAUAAGACUGGGAUAACUUCGGGAAACCGGAGCUAAUACCGGCUAAUAUUUUGAACCGCAUGGUUCAAAAGUGAAAGACGGUCUUGCUGUCACUUAUAGCUGGAUCCGCGCUGCAUUAGCUAGUUGGUAAGGUAACGGCUUACCAAGGCAACGAUGCAUAGCCGACCUGAGAGGGUGAUCAGCCACACUGGAACUGAGACACGGUCCAGACUCCUACGGGAGGCAGCAGUAGGGAAUCUUCCGCAAUGGGCGAAAGCCUGACGGAGCAACGCCGCGUGAGUGAUGAAGGUCUUCGGAUCGUAAAGCUCUGUUAUUAGGGAAGAACAUAUGUGUAAGUAACUGUGCACAUCUUGACGGUACCUAAUCAGAAAGCCACGGCUAACUACGUG
rnacentral:rRNA from 1 species